rnacentral:lncRNA from 1 species
GUUUGUGUGUGGCUCGCACUAACCAGCACGGUGAUGAAGACUACCGUGGGUCAACGCUAUUCUGCCUCCUCUGUCGUGUGCAGUUUGCCGCCUGCUGCACCAUCGGAGAUUGCCUCGCAGUCCAUAUUUCAAGCUCGUGCAGCUUACAGACUACAUAUGUGUGGUGCGGCUAUGUGUGCUUGACUGCUUGCACAUCUGUCUCUCUCUUAUUUCUCUAACACCCGUCCACUUUGUUGGUAUGUAGGUGGUACAAAGGCCAGCGAGAAAAGCUCCAACAAUGGACAUAAAUGCAAUGGCCAGAGCCACCUCGCAGUGACUUGAAUCAAUUUAGAAAACAAGCCGUGGUCAACUGUUUUGUCUUCUUUUAAAAAAAUCUAAGUGCACUAUAGUCAUUGUCUUGCGGUUCAGUUGACAAGAAACCGUAACACAUCAGCAUGCCGUUUGGUGUUUUUUCUGCAGUUCACUACUCUCAUUCGUGUCACUUUGGACUCUGUUUCUUUUUUGCUUUUUUGGAUGGGAAUCUUCGGUGCACUGAAGUUUCCUAUCCGUUGUUCUUGCGGUCAAUUUACUAGUUUUUGCAGGAGAUGGGGGACAACAAAAAGAGAGAAAAAUGAAUGUGACUCCAGGAUGCCUCUGCUCCGACGGUAUAAUGCGGAUGAAUGUGGAAUCAGCUAUAGUACACUACAUUCGACCAAAUGGUCCAGAUGCGUUUAUAAGAAGUUAAAAAAAUUAAUGGAGUUCACUAAACUCGCCAUGUAGUCUUGAUGCAUUUAUAAAAAAAAGUUAGAACAAGACAAAAAUUAUGAACUUCAAAUUAACGGGGA